GUCAGAUGAGUAUCACUGAUCUUAAUUCAGAGGCUAGCUACUACUGAUAAAGAUCCUGACCAUGACCAUCCAAUGGAGUCUAAUCGCCUUCAUCGGGAUGCACCUGGUGUGUGCUAAUAUUUUUGUCCUUUGCUACGCACAAAAGCUCGUGGCCGGGAGAGCUGCAGUAUACGGCGGGCAGUCGAGUCCUCAGCAAAAGGCAGUGCCGUGAUGUGAAGCAGCCAACAUAAUCAAAGAAUAGGAAGUUUGCGCCUCCUGGACCCCGCCGCCGCGUGCCUCCUGGACCCC